GGGGCCCCAUGGGGCCCCCCCUUUCUCCUCAAAUAACUUCCACCCUCAUGGUGUAGCUGAAAGAAAUGUAAUUUGACCAACAUAAUUCUCUCUAAAGGCUUAAUGAGUAAUAUUUACCAGCUCAGGAAGGUUUUGAAAGAAAAGCCUGGUUUAUUCUAAUCAGAUCCCUUUACGGUACAUUUCAGACACGUACUUUCACAGAUCUGGUGUGCCUGGGGGGCAGGGCGCGGAGCCCGGCUCCGCCACUCGCUGACGUGAAGCAGGCUUCUCGAACCCGAGCCUCGGUCUCUCAGCGUGAAAUGGGGCCCUCCGGCCCUCUGCCUCCCGAGGUCCCUUCCAGCGCUGAGGCCCUCGGAAGCUAAGGGGAAGCCAGUCCAACUCAGGAGACGAGGUUUUCUUGCUCCCACCUGUUCCCCUCCCAACCUGCUCCUGGAUCUGAAGACACAGCAGUAUGGUCAACCUCCACGGAGGUCAAGAACUGAGGCUGAGUGUGGGGUGCCCGUGGUGAGCAGAGCCCGACCUUCUGCCCCCCUUGGAGACCCCCAAGAAUUCUCUCCCUGGCUGUGGCCUGCACAGGGAUCUCCCGUGCCCUUUGGAGCAGGGCCAAAGGUUGUCCACCGUGAGAUCCUGAACGCCGGUCUGCGUCCCCUCCCCUUCAGAAAACAGCCUGCCCCGCACCCCCCCAAAAGCCAGGAGGCUGAGUGACUUUUGGGGGCCCCCACCCCUUCAGAUUCUGAUGCAGCUGCAGUGAAACCCGGAGGCCAGGAUGUCAGGCUGCAGUCACGGACCAGAGCAGACCCCCAGUGACUGACGGUGAGGAUGACAGACCCCCAACACGUCAGCCCCUCCGCCGGCGUGUGCGUGUCGCCCAGGGGCCGGGGCGUGCAUGUCAGCGCUCUUCCAACCUUCACCCAGGGCUUCCCACGGCCGGCGCAGGCCUGCGAGAUGGCUUACGGUACGGAGCAGAUCAGGCACGGAAGGACUCAGGUUGUGUUGGUGACAAAAACCUAAAACCGCCGCUCUUAGCCACUAGCUGCUGGCUGUGCGUCCCCAGUGCACCGAGACAGCUGUCAGCUUGGCUUCUUUGCACAGACAUCUUUUUCCUGCCCAGAAUCCUGUCACCGUUCUCCGCCUGGCCCCGCUGCCUCUCACUCGGCUGCUUCCCAUUCCCCUCUGGCCGGGGCCCGGCCAGCGGCACACCGCAGCCUGUGGCCUGGCCGGUGCCUCUCCCUAGGGCUCUGUCGCUCCCCAGCCUCCCCGGCCGUGCAAUGUGCUGCCUUGUAGUGGACCGGUGUUCCUGCCAUCUGUCUCUCCUCACCUGGGAGCACCCCGAAGGCUGGGGCUCCCUUUGCCGUCUCAGGUGUCCUAGCAUAAAAACGUGUUA